rnacentral:rRNA from 1 species
UAGGGAAUCUUCGGCAAUGGGGGGAACCCUGACCGAGCAACGCCGCGUGAGUGAAGAAGGUUUUCGGAUCGUAAAGCUCUGUUGUUAAGGAAGAACGAGUGCGAGAAUGGAAAGUUCAUACUGUGACGGUACUUAACCAGAAAGGGACGGCUAACUACGUGCCAGCAGCCGCGGUAAUACGUAGGUCCCGAGCGUUGUCCGGAUUUAUUGGGCGUAAAGCGAGCGCAGGCGGUUAGAUAAGUCUGAAGUUAAAGGCAGUGGCUCAACCAUUGUAGGCUUUGGAAACUGUUUAACUUGAGUGCAGAAGGGGAGAGUGGAAUUCCAUGUGUAGCGGUGAAGUGCGUAGAUAUAUGGAGGAACACCGGUGGCGAAAGCGGCUCUCUGGCCUGUAACUGACGCUGAGGCUCGAAAGCGUGGGGAGCGAACAGGAUUAGAUACCCUGGUAGUCCACGCCGUAACGAUGAGUGCUAGGUGUUAGGUCCUUUCCGGGACUUAGUGCCGCAGCUAACGCAUUAAGCACUCCGCCUGGGGAGUACGACCGCAAGGUUG